UCCCAUAUUGUCUAGUGGUUAGGAUACCUGGCUCUCACCAAGGAGGCCCGGGUUCAAUUCCCGGUAUGGGAA
rnacentral:tRNA from 1 species